GCUUACGGCCACACCGGCCUGAGUACGCCCUGAUCUCGCCUGAUCUCGGAAGCUAAGCAGGGUCGGGCCUGGUUAGUACUUGGAUGGGAGGACCGCCUGGGAAUACCAGGUGCUGUAAGCU
rnacentral:rRNA from 1 species